GAUGAAGAACGCAGCGAAAUGCGAUAAGUAAUGUGAAUUGCAGAAUUCAGUGAAUCAUCGAAUCUUUGAACGCACAUUGCGCCCGCCAGUAUUCUGGCGGGCAUGCCUGUUCGAGCGUCAUUUCAACCCUCAAGCCCAGCUUGGUGUUGGGAUCUGUCCUUACCGACAGUCCCCAAAUUGAUUGGUGGUCACGUCGAGCUUCCAUAGCGUAGUAAUUUACACAUCGUUACUGGUAAUCGUCGCGGCCACGCCGUUAAACCCCAACUUCUGAAUGUUGACCUCGGAUCAGGUAGGAAUACCCGCUGAACUUAAGCAUAUCAAUAAGCGGAGGA
rnacentral:misc_RNA from 1 species